AAACGGCUCAAGCAUGCCCUGAAUGCCUGUUACCACCUGACGCUUCGACCGGCACCUGCGGCUAAGUGAAGAAACCCAAAACAGAAAGAUUGAUCGAGAGCAGAACAGAAGAGUCCUCCCUGAGGAGUGGCCCCAGUGGAUCCCCAGAUUCCCACAGAAGAUUCAGACAGCGAGAGAGAGGAGCCUCCAACAACGAGUGGCGGCCCAAGGUACCUCCAGACAUUUCCAAAUCAAGAACCGAUAGAUCUUUAAGGACAGUCUUUGAAGUGUUCAGUUUUAAUGAGAUGUCACUGUUUGGAUUCUGUCUGAUAUGUGUAAAUGUGGCUCAAACUUGAAUCUAAUCUUGCAGAGUCCGCCUAAUACCCAUUGUGAAUAUGAUGUUUGUUAUUAUGUGUUUGAUAGAUGUUUAUGAAUCGAAUUGAAGAAAAAUUGACACUGCUUAUUUAAACAGGCUGUUAAUGCUUGUCAUAUUUGUU